AUCUGGUUCAGGACGAACGCUGGCGGCGUGCCUAAUACAUGCAAGUCGAACGGUCUUUCUAUGGAAGCCUGCUUCCACUGAGAAGAUAGUGGCGAACGGGUGAGUAACACGUGGGUAACCUGCCCAUAAGAGGGGGAUAACAUCCGGAAACGGGUGCUAAUACCGCAUAGUUUCUUGAUCGCAUGAUUGAGAAAGGAAAGACGGCCUUUGUGCUGUCGCUUAUGGAUGGACCCGCGGCGUAUUAGUUAGUUGGUGAGGUAACGGCUCACCAAGACGAUGAUACGUAGCCGACCUGAGAGGGUGAUCGGCCACAUUGGGACUGAGACACGGCCCAAACUCCUACGGGAGGCAGCAGUAGGGAAUCUUCCGCAAUGGACGAAAGUCUGACGGAGCAACGCCGCGUGAGUGAAAGAAGGUUUUCGGAUCGUAAAACUCUGUCGUCAGAGAAGAACAGGUUGGAGAGUAACUGCUCCAGCCUUGACGGUAUCUGACCAGAAAGCCACGGCUAACUACGUGCCAGCCGCCGC
rnacentral:rRNA from 1 species